rnacentral:snRNA from 1 species
UUGCUCACUUGGGCAGCACACAAACUAAAACUGGAAUGUUAUAGAGAUUAGCAUGGCCCCCUGUGCAAGGUUAAAGUGAGUGUAUGCAGGACAGAAGACAAUUCUGU